rnacentral:lncRNA from 1 species
GUUGGGUAAGCCUCUAUAUGAAUGACUAGACAGUAUUGGUGAUUAAACCUGCACGAUGGAUAGGGCCGCAAGAUAGGCACGAACAUCACUGUUACAAUAGCCAAAAUUUUGGAGAUCUCCGAUUAUUGUGAACUUCUCUCUUCCUGGUUUUCUGUCCAUGGUGGAGUUUGUUGCUCAUGUUUUCAGCUUAUUUUGAGAAAGUUAAAAAGGAGAGGAAUAAAGCUGCUACUAUUAUUCUAAAUGUUGUACCUUGCACACAAUUUGUCCAGAGCAAAGACUAUAAAACCUGAG